rnacentral:rRNA from 1 species
AGUGAACGCUGGCGGUAGGCCUAACACAUGCCAGUCGAACGGAAGCACAGUAAGAGCUUGCUCUUACGGGUGGCGCGUGGCGGACGGGUGAGGAAUACAUCGGAAUCUACUUUUUCGUGGGGGAUAACGUAGGGAAACUUACGCUAAUACAGCAUACGACCUACGGGUGAAAGCAGGGGAUCUUCGGACCUUGCGCGAUUGGAUGAGCCGAUGUCGGAUUAGCUGGUUGGCGGGGUAAAGGCCAACCAAGGCGAGGAUCCGUAGCUGGUCUGUGAGGAGGGUCGGCCACCUUAGAAGUGAGACACGGUCCUGACUCCUGCGGGAGGGAGCAGUGGGGAAUAGUGGACAAUGGGCGCAAGCCUGAUCCAGCCAUACCGCGUGGGUGAAGAAGGCCUUCGGGUUGUAAAGCCCGUUUGUGGGGAAAGAAAAGCAGUAGGUUAAUACCCCGCUGUUCUGACGGUACCCAAAGAAUAAGCACCGGCUAACUUCGUG